UACGGCCACGUCGCGUUGAAACACCGGUUAUCAUACGAUCCCCGAAGUUAAGCAACGUCUAGUCUGGUCAGUACCUUGAUGAGUGACCGCUUGAGAAU